rnacentral:rRNA from 1 species
GAUGAACGCUGGCGGCGUGCCUAAUGCAUGCCAGUCGAGCGAACAGACGAGGAGCUUGCUCCUCUGACGUUAGCGGCGGACGGGUGAGUAACACGUGGAUAACCUACCUAUAAGACUGGGAUAACUUCGGGAAACCGGAGCUAAUACCGGAUAAUAUAUUGAACCGCAUGGUUCAAUAGUGAAAGACGGUUUUGCUGUCACUUAUAGAUGGAUCCGCGCCGCAUUAGCUAGUUGGUAAGGUAACGGCUUACCAAGGCGACGAUGCGUAGCCGACGUGAGAGGGUGAUCGGCCACACUGGAACUGAGACGCGGUCCAGACUCCGACGGGAGGCAGCAGUAGGGAAUCUUCCGCACUGGGCGAAAGCCUGACGGAGCAACGCCGCGUGAGUGAUGAAGGGCUUCGGAUCGUAAAACUCUGUUAGUGGGGAAGAACAAAUGUGUAAGUAACUAUGCACGUCUUGACGGAACCUAAACAGAAAGCCACGGCUAACUACGU